rnacentral:lncRNA from 1 species
UUUUCCUUUUUGUUUUUUGAUUAAAUGUUGGGAAUGACGUAUUCUGUUGGAGCAAUCAAUCGUGGAUUGAAUCCUGUUUGCUGUUGCAGGCUUGUGAGAUGAUCCAAGACCUUUCACUGCUUGUGAUACUCUUUAUAAAGGACGAGGGAUAGUCUUGGUGAAUCAGGUUCAUGAAGUUUAUAUUUGGUUUUCUAAAGGGCUUGCGCAUGUAGACAAUCUUCUGUCAUAGUGUUUAAUAGAAUGUGCUGUAGAAAAUCAGUCUCUCAUGGAUGGAACUGUGCUGGACUUCAUACUU